AUUUUAUUCUAUAGGAAGUCAUAGAGGACACAUAAUUUACCAAUGCUUUCAGGAAGGCUCUGGUGAGACGAAUCAAGAAGAUCAUCCUAAUAUCAGUGAUGGAUCCCCUCCAAAGACCAGGAAUGAUGGUAUAAAAGGUAUUAACACAGCCUGCCUCAUCAAUAAUGAAGUAUGGCCCUUGCAGGAAUCAGAAGCAUCCUGGAGAUUGACCAUAGAUAGAAUACCACAAGCUCAACCAACUGGUGAUCCUGACUACAGCUGUGAUGCCAGAUGAGGUGCAAGACCAAUCCUCCUGCUUGGAGAACUGAUCCAACUCCACACCUGUAUCUUCAGGCUGGACUCUCUUCUUCAACCCAUGUAUAUGUCCGGUAUUCCCUCAUCAUUGACAAAUACCUUCCUUUGACUUACUGAUUCUCUGACUACCACCUUUUCAAUGAAGGUAUUUUUUCAGUCAACCAUUUUAACAAAUUCAUCUUUGCUUGGUCUCCACUUCCUCUCCUUGAAGUUGCUCUUCACAUCACUAUAAACCAGCUUUUGAUCUCAUUGCUUCUUACAGAGUUAGUAAAAAAAAUGGCUAGAAUAAUAGUUGCAGCUGUUGUAUAUAGUGGUAAACAAUAAAAACUACCAUCAUUUAUUGAGUAUCUACUAUGUGUUCGACAUAGGAAUAAGUACUUCACAUAUCUGUGGAUCUAAGUAUCAAUAAAUAUCUACUACAGCUCAGGCAUUAUGCCAGGUGCUGGGAAUCAAAUGGUAAACAGGUUACACUUGGUUUCUGUCACCACAGAACUCACAGUCUAUUAGAGGAAAGAGACAAGUAAGCAAGCAAUUAAAAAGCUGCUUCAUAAAUGUCACAAUUGGGCAAAUACUGGGCACUGCAGGUCUACACAGCAAGGGCUAUAAAUCCAGAUUUGAAAAUACUUCCUAGAAGCAACAAUCCCAAAGCACAGGGCUAUGGGGUAAAGCAGAGGAAGGAAAGGGGGGUUCCAGGGUGGGAGCUGAGAGGAGCCCCGCACAGGUGAAGAACAAAGCUCAGCAAGACAGGAGGGGCAUGUGCUGGUGGGGAAUGGAGAGAAGUGCACUGGAGACUGAGCGAGGAGGUGCUAAAGCUCGGGCUGAGGAACUGAACUUCACCUAAGGGUGAUGACAAAGCCAAGAUCAUCUUGAGCAGAAACUAGCAUGGUCAAGAUUUGCCUUUAGAAAUUUCUCUCUGGCUAGAAAGUGAGAAUGGACUGGGGAGGAAAGGGUGGAUGGUGGGGGAGCACAUCUCUGUUUCUCAGCUCUAUCAACACAGAGAUUUCACAAACAUUGGGUAACACAGGAGACUGUUACACCAACAGAGUGUAAGAAUCAGAACACUGAGGACAGAGAGAAAGGAAUGGAUUAGAGUGAAAUUUAGAAGCAGACAUGAUAAUAGUUGGUAACUGAUCAGAUGUGGGACACAACAGAAAAAGGACAGAUAAAGAAAAUACCCAAAUUUCUGGCACAGGCCACUAGGCUUGAGAGAACACCACAGGAGAAAUGGUGUGAAGAUAAUAAGUUUUACGCAUCUAUCACCAUUGGUCUCCUCCAUACUACCAUGCAUUCUUUGCAUGGCAUUCCAAGCCAUUUGUGGUCUGACAUGUCUUUUUCAUCCUUGUCUCUUGCCACUACGCCCCUCACAUUUUGUAUUGGGGGAGAAAAAAAAUCCACAGUUCCAAGACAAAGAUCUUUCACAUCAGAGUGGCCUGUUACUUGCAUGCCGUGAAUGUCAUUCCCUCCCUAUGAGUACUUGAGAUUCUCCCACUCAUAUCUAAUCUUGAGCACAUCAUUUACAACAUUUUUACUGAGAUCCACCCCUGCUCAGUUAUGCCUCCCUCCUCUGGGCAACCUCCCUACUGGGCUUUGUUACAUCAGUGAGAUACACUGUAAUUAAAUCCCUUUGGCUCUCCAUCUGCACUACCAGGCCUUCUUGGCAGCAUACUGCUUUAAAUGUCUCUGCAUCCCAAGCCAUUUAUUAAUCUACACAGUAAUCCUCUCCUAACCAUCAGUCAGGUACUAUGCUAGAUUUGGCAGCACAAAACC